UCCCUUGCAAUUCUCCAAGGGAUUCUGUGAUAAAAUUGUAUACCGUCACAAUAGUUAAAAUAUUUCUCCAUCUAUCACGCAACCGAUGCAAACACCCAUGGCGCAUUUACCACGGACACAAACACGGUGUUGAUCGAUUUUGAUCCUUUCAAAAGUUUCUUUUACCACCAACGAGGACUUUGGGGAGUUAAUUUUGUUGGGGCAAGAGUUUCAGCAGAGCAAUUUUGUUUUUUUCUUCCACAGAUUCGUCGGAUGGUCUCCAACAGUAAUCACAAUUAUUAGGACCAUUUUACUCUCUCUUUCAAUCUCUCUCAUCAAGCACUGCAGUUUAAUUUCUUCUUAUUUCUCACGGAAUUAGAACUUUGCAGUCGGCAUAAAGUUUUCACCAUCGGAAUUUUGUAGAAAUUAAAAAUUCAAAUGCUGUAAGAACAGAGCCAGUACUGGUUGGUUCUGGUGGCCAUGUGUACCGGAAAUUGAAUGGUUUGGGGAUUCCGAAGUGCUCCAUCAAAAUAUUGGAAAUGGGGAUUCCCUUUCCUUAGAUGAGAAAUGGUUCACCGUUAAUGAUGAAGGGAAAUAAGUUGAAAAGCACAUUGCUUAUGCAAGCAGCAUCAAGCGAAGAAGGCCAAGGAAGGAAUCUGAAGAGGAAUUAUGCAAAUAGUUGGGUUCCAGUCGAAGAAUCAAACUCAGCUCCAUCUGAAGCAGAUGCAGAUGGGACGAAAGUCCAAUGAUGCAUGCCAUGAAUAACCCAAGCAGUGAUGUCCGUGAAGCAAGAAGGCUUUGGUUUCUGACACAUCAGUGAACCAACCUCGUUAGUGACCCAGAAAUUAAUGAUGAUCUGUAUGAAGGAAAAAGAAAAAAUGAAAACAAGCAUAACACUAGUUGAAUAUCUCCAAGGUAUGAUAAUGUCAAUUUCUAAAAUUCUUCUUGAGUAUUAUUACAUGAAUCUUAUUUUCUCCUAGGUGCUUUAUUGCUUACAUUAUUUAUGGCCCAAGAAUGCCUCGCGUUCAUCCAAACAUAAGAAUGUUGGAAAGUUCGAAAUGUGCCCAUUUACUAUUUGAAAGAAGAAACCAAUUUCUGAAGACAACCAAAGAUGGAGCAGCAAGAAAUCUGAUAAUUAUGCCAUUGCAUGCAUUGCAAGAUCAGUUUUAGAAAGUUUUAGCUGAUUCUUUGUUUUUUACCCUAACAUGCUGGAAGUACAUUACCUUUUCGGUUGGACGUAGAAGUUUUUCUCUUGAAUCAGUGAUUGUCGAUUCUAUAUCCACAAAAUUAACCUUUUCACUCAUUUGAUAAGGAUUCUGCCAA